AAGUCGUAACAAGGUCUCCGUAGGUGAACCUGCGGAGGGAUCAUUAACACGUAUCCACGUAUCAAACCAAACCGCGCACUAGGAACAGAAGAAACCUCCCUGCGAGGAAGUAUGAUGUUCCAAUCUGACUUGGAAAAGAAAUGCUGUCAGUUAGCAUCGUGUAGUGGGUCCUUCGGGACGAUGCUCUUUGACUGGAGGGAAAAGCUCAAGGCAUAGUAUUUUCCAAGUAUAAAAAUUUUCUACCUCUACGGGAAGCCAACCUAUUUCACCCCCAUAUAACCACUUGACUGAUGACGCUCGUGCGGAGAAAUCCGAUUCGAGUUUUCGAUAUUCGAACUAAAGCACAACUCUUAGCAACGGAUAUCUUGGUUCUC
rnacentral:misc_RNA from 1 species